AAGCCAUCGACGGCGGAGUUCAGGUGCGAAGUCAGGGACACAAAGUCCGUGGUGCAUUUCUGGAUUCGACACUGGGCCGGCUGCUGGCAGUCACCUAGGAGAAAGAAGGAUUUUGAGAAAGAUCCCUUUGCUCUAAGGCCAAGUCAAAGAUGGAAACUUUGUUUUGAUUUUGAAAAUUGCGCAUCAGCUGGGAAAACAAGGAGUAGAAGAUGACAAGCUCAUAAGGCACUUCCCCAGCCAUUCCUAAGUUUCCAAAACCAAAAAGGGAAAAUGUAGUCAAGACUGGCUAUCUGACUUAACACAAGUAAAAGAGAAGAUUAAAAUAUUUUACUAUUUUGGAGCUGUGAAUUUACAGCUAUUACUUAAAGGCACUAAAUAAAAAUCACAGAUACAUCUUUAUGCGUGUGGCCUCUUUUUUGUUUUCUCAUUCCAAAGUUGACAAAAGCAGCUCUAGUAUUUAUAGAAUUCCUCUCUACAAAGUAGAUCAAAUCAUCUUUCAACUAUUUUUACUCAAAAAGGCAAAAGUGGAAACAAAAAAUAAGACCAGCCAACAACCCCCAAAGUGGCAUUAAAGCCAUUUUACAGAUGGGAAAAUCAAGACAAAGGGACACCAAAGGCCUUGUCCUGGCUGGACUGUAAACUGCCAGCAUGAAGCCCAGAACAUGGUGCCUUUCCUCAAAUCUCGUUUUCAUUCCCCCAACAAAAUUUCUGAUUCUCAAGACAGUACUUUAUAGCUUUAGGAAAAAAAAAAAAAGACGUCAGGAACAGCAACAUCUUUUCUCUUUUUCUUUUAAAAUCAGAUUCACAGCAAGCAGUAAGCAAGACAAUAAAUAUAUGAGCCAAGGCUCAUUCAGUAACAAAGAGCUUUUGCACAAUGUAUAAAUGACAGCACAAGAACUUUCCGCUAAACUUGCAGUGCCUAUUCUGUUCUUUUUAUGGUCUAUAAAAUCUAGCCGAGCGUACACUUACUUAUAAUUAUUUCAAAUAGUCAUAAAAAUAUCAAAAGUAAGACCAGCAGAUGCAACUGUUUAGAAAGGAAAAGCAGAAUCUAGACUCCCAGAUCCUUUUUUGUUCCCUUCCUCCCUUCCCCAUGCCCUUUUUCAUAGCAGGUAGGGGCUGAUUCCUUUGAGAAAUCUCAGACAAAACACAGUUCCUUGGAUUCCUAUGUUUUGGAUGAGGUUUCUAACAGACUUUUUAAAUAGAGAUGGUGGGAUGGAGGAGGGCUAACCAGAGAGAAAGUGCAUGUGGGUCAGCAGUUUCAGCCCCAUCACAGGCUCCUGUAUAUAAUGACUAAUUUGCAGCAUACACCCAGAAAUACCCAGGCUUCAUGAAUUUAUAAUGACAAUGCACACUUUGCCUGUAAGAGGCGGUAAAGUAAGCCUCCUGUCAAAAUGCCAAGACAAUGCAGAGCAGAAACAAUUUCAAGGAUGCAGCCAAGAAAACCAUGAAGUGUAUGAGUAAGCAAGGAACUCCCAUACUGGAUCUCCAUUCAGGAAGUGCAGAGGUUUGCUUCAGGAAAAAAAAAAAAAAGAAAGACUAAAAGUAUUCUUUUCAUUUCCCAAGGGCAGAAUUCAAAAUCUGCAGCUACAGAUCUAUUUUUUUCAAAUCAUACCAUCUAUGAUGUGAUCGUAUUUUCAUCCCAGUAAAUGAAGUUUACUAAAGGAUUUGUUAGUCUAGAGCUCUCAUGAAUGAUCCAGACACGAAGACCUCACCAUUCAAGGUGGUUUCUGCAAUGUCAGGCCUGCAUGGGUGAAUCUGCAGCCCAAUCAUCAGAUUAUAAUAAAAGAAAU